GUAAGUAUUGAGAAGAGUUCUUCAGGGAAGAAACUGUUGGUGGCUGAAAAUCUGAAUGUGAGCUGGCAAUGUAUGCUCACAGCCCAGAAGGCAAACCAUGUCCUGGACUGCAUCCAAAGAAGCAUGGCCAGAAGGUCGAGAGAGGUGACUGUGCAUUUCUACUCUGCUCUGCAUGUCAAGGCCCAGGAGGACAUGUAAUUAAUGAGAGGAGCAUCAAUCCCAUCCAGACCUGGAACUGCCCACACAUUGAUGGCCAGUUGAAAUAGCAGGGGAAAUCUAAUGUUCUGUGGAAGCUGAAACCAGAAUAUUUGGCUAUUUUAGAAGCUGAAAUACCAAAAAUAACAAAUGUGGAUCUUCACAUGGCGAGGGAAAGAAGAGGCUGUUACAGAAUGACAGACUGCUGACUCGGAGAUCUCCUUCUAACUAAUGAACAAUGGAAAAGCAACGACUGGUGAAAGCCUCAAAAGUCACUUUGAAGUCCUUGGCAAAGGUAAUGAUGGCUUGUAAAUGUGCAGGUUCUCUUUGAGAUGGACAAGCUCAUGGGCCUCUCUGCACUUAAUGCUCCUUUACCAUGUGCUUAGCUUCUAAAAUACAUCCAGACUGGCCUUCAGACAUUGAUGUUUAUUUCUUCACAAAAGGAAGAGCAAUUGUGAAAAUGUAUUGUUAGAUCUGAGGUGUAAGGACCUAAGUGGUUGUUUAAGUGGACGUUGAUGUAAAGCUUGGAGAGCUGGGGUCUGGCUAAGCAGAAAACAAAAUGCAUGUUCUAACUAACAUUUUCCAGCAAAGUUUCUCUGGAAAUCUGGAAGCUAUCUGGGUUUUUUUUUUUUUUGUAUUUAGGUUUUUAUUUUCCAUGUGGCAUAGCAUUUUGGUGAUUAUGUUGCCUGUAUUAAAUGAGAGGCAGAGUCAUGCUACAGGAUUAUGUCUAAGUAUCCUGCGUUGUAGCUUAAUGAUCUUCUGAAGGCAGAAUGAACAUAACCAAAGCAUUAAUAACUCAAAUACUUUAGUCUCAUGCUGAAUGAGUAGUUGGUACAUUAUGGAGCUGACUUGUGUUUCACAAGUGUUAUAUUCCUUUAUACUUCU